CAAAAACAUGUCUUUUUGAUUAUAAUUUAAAGUCUAACCUGCCCAAUGAGGAGUUAAAUGGCCGCGGUAUUUUGACCGUGCAAAGGUAGCAUAAUCAUUAGUUUUUUAAUUGAAAGCUGGUAUGAAUGGUUGGACGAGAAAAUAACUGUCUCGAUUUAAAUUAAAUUAGAAUUUUAUUUAUGAGUAAAAAAGCUCAUAUGAGUUUAAAAGACGAGAAGACCCUAUAGAAUUUAAUAUAUAUAUAUAUAUAUUAUUUUUAGAAUUAAUAAUAAGUUAUAUAUAAUUAUAUUUUGUUGGGGUGAUAGAAAAAUUAAAUUAACUUUUUUUAUAUAAAAACAUUAAUGUAUGAAAAAAUGAUCCGUUAGUUACGAUUAUAAGAUUAAAUUACCUUAGGGAUAACAGCGUAAUUUUUUUUUAGAGUUCUUAUCGAAAAAAGAGUUUGCGACCUCGAUGUUGGAUUAAAAUUAACUUUUGGUGUAGGGGCU
rnacentral:rRNA from 1 species